GAUGAACGCUGGCGGCGUGCUUAACACAUGCAAGUCGAACGGGGAUCAUUUUGCUGAAACUUCGGUGGAUUUAAAAUGAUCCUAGUGGCGGACGGGUGAGUAACGCGUGGGUAACCUGCCUUAUACGGGGGGAUAACAGCCGGAAACGGCUGCUAAUACCGCAUAAGCGCACGGAGGCGCAUGCUUCUGUGUGAAAAACUUUGGUGGUAUAAGAUGGACCCGCGUUGGAUUAGCUAGUUGGCAGGGCAGCGGCCUACCAAGGCGACGAUCCAUAGCCGGCCUGAGAGGGUGGACGGCCACAUUGGGACUGAGACACGGCCCAGACUCCUACGGGAGGCAGCAGUGGGGAAUAUUGCACAAUGGGGGAAACCCUGACUGCAGCGACGCCGCGUGAAGGAAGAAGUA
rnacentral:rRNA from 1 species